rnacentral:lncRNA from 1 species
AGGAAAUCAAUUUUAGCUUCCCUUACCUGGUCCGUACCUUCGUACGUAAUUUCCAGCUUGUCCCACAUUUUCUUUGCCGUUGUGCAACACGAUGUUUUCCUGUAAUCAUCAGCAUUUACAGCAUAAUAUAAUAAAUUAAUUGGUUUAGCAUUAUUUUGAACCUUUCGGAUAUCAUCCGGGUCAUAUUCUUCUUCGGAUUUGGGAACCCAUUCGUUUUCAACCUUUUCGGUUGGAAUUUGAUUUCCCUUCGUUAUCACCUUCCAGAGAUGAAAGUUGUUUGCUUGAACGAAGAUUUUCAUCCUCUCCUUCCAGUACGUGUAGUUUGNNNNNNNN